rnacentral:misc_RNA from 1 species
CGAAAUGCGAUAAGUAAUGUGAAUUGCAGAAUUCAGUGAACCAUCGAAUCUUUGAACGCACAUUGCGCCCCUCGGGUCUCCCGAGGGGUAUGCCUGUCCGAGCGUCAUGCUUCCUGUCGGACCCCCGCUGUGGGGUCCGGAGCUGGGCUCCGCGAGGCCCCCGGAGACGGGGUGUGGCGCGGGCCUGAAAGUUGACCGGAGCCACCUGGGGGGCGAAGCGACCAAGGUUCUCACGCCAUCGCUCCAUCCUCCCUCGGGGCUGCCGGUCCAAGAAGGUCAGCCCCUGCUGGCCUUGAAGGGUCUACCAUCGCAAAGCGAUCGACCUCGGAUCAGGUAGGGAUACCCGCUGAACUUAAGC